GUGGGUUGGUUCGUGGUCUUGCUGACUUCAAGAAUGACACCGCUGACCUUUGCGAUUGGAGACUUGAAGAGAUGAGUUUAACCUGCCAGUGAAUACUAUCUUGAAUGUAACACAAACACAGAAGAGUACACUGAUCGCCUCAGCUCAUUUGUGGGGUUCAGCUUCUUUUUGCUCUAUCCCACUUUACAUCCAUUUUCCCUUCCCAUCUGCCUGCCCUGUGGAUAUCAAGCUCCAGCAUAAAACCUGAGGACAACAGCUUCACAGAGAUUGCUUAACCAGCUCCAACUGU
rnacentral:lncRNA from 1 species